AAUUCGAAGCAACGCGAAGAACUUACCAGGCCUUGACAUGCAGAGAACUUUCCAGAGAUGGAUUGGUGCCUUCGGGAACUCUGACACAGGUGCUGCAUGGCUGUCGUCAGCUCGUGUCGUGAGAUGUUGGGUUAAGUCCCGUAACGAGCGCAACCCUUGCCUUAGUUACCAGCACGUUAUGGUGGGCACUCUAAGGAGACUGCCGGUGACAAACCGGAGGAAGGUGGGGAUGACGUCAAGUCAUCAUGGCCCUCACGGCCUGGGCUACACACGUGCUACAAUGGUCGGUACAAAGGGUUGCCAAGCCGCGAGGUGGAGCUAAUCCCAUAAAACCGAUCGUAGUCCGGAUCGCAGUCUGCAACUCGACUGCGUGAAGUCGGAAUCGCUAGUAAUCGUGAAUCAGAAUGUCACGGUGAAUACGUUCCCGGGCCUU
rnacentral:rRNA from 1 species